GGGGCGUUAGACAAGUGGCUUAAGUCACACGACUUUCUAUCGUGUAUGCAUGGGUUCGAAUCCCAUACGCCCUACCA
rnacentral:tRNA from 1 species